UACGUAGGACCCAAGCGUUAUCCGGAAUGACUGGGCGUAAAGAGUUGCGUAGGUGGCUUGUUAAGUGGUGUGUGAAAUAGUGUGGCUCAACCAUACUGCUAUACACUAAACUGGCAGGCUAGAGCAAGAAAGAGGUAACUGGAAUUCCUAGUGUAGGAGUGAAAUCCGUAGAUAUUAGGAGGAACACCGAUGGCGUAGGCAGGUUACUGGUUCUUUGCUGACACUAAGGCACGAAAGCGUGGGGAGCAAACGGG
rnacentral:rRNA from 1 species